rnacentral:misc_RNA from 1 species
AAGUCGUAACAAGGUUUCCGUAGGUGAACCUGCGGAAGGAUCAUUACCGAGUGAGGGCCCUCUGGGUCCAACCUCCCACCCGUGUUUAUUUUACCUUGUUGCUUCGGCGGGCCCGCCUUUACUGGCCGCCGGGGGGCUCACGCCCCCGGGCCCGCGCCCGCCGAAGACACCCUCGAACUCUGUCUGAAGAUUGUAGUCUGAGUGAAAAUAUAAAUUAUUUAAAACUUUCAACAACGGAUCUCUUGGUUCCG